CGUCAAACUAAUUGCGAGGCACGGUUUUUUUUUACAAAGGAAUAACAUGAGAUUUCCAAUAUGAAAUGGCCGAAAUUGUGAGAUACUGUGCUCAGAAUUAGUUCUAUAUUUGGGAAUUUGUGUCAAGCAAAACAUAUAUAUAUUGCGGGCAUGCUUCCAUCCAUGCCUGAAUUGCGAUGAGACGGGGCGAGUGACUGCUAUCCGUGUCGUCCGCUGCACACAGGACGCCAGAUGGGCACAGUAUUCACAGUAUUUGUAAGGAUCCAGCGGGAGGGGAGGCGGAGUAAUUAUAUCUGCUCUUCAAGGCAUCAAUAAUAUUGAUGACAAUAAUACAUCCUACCGUCCAGGAUAAAUCCUCAGAUCUGCCCACCUCAAAGAGCAGCCUUGCAGCGUUUGUCACCUGGGCUCACCAGGCAUCCUGCGGGCAGAGGGCGCUCCAGGGGCGUCGCGGGAUAACGGGUCCUCCGGCGGACAGGGGGCGCAGCUCCCGCCCCGCUCGCUGUUCGGAGUGCGAGACAGGUGCCACGUAAUCAGGGUGAGGGGUCACCGGGCGGGCGGGGAGGCGGCGGCGGAGCCCAGUCUGGUGAGCGGCAGCCGCAGAGCCACUCGUCCGUCCCAGCGGACAGCUGCUGCUCGCAGCCCGCUACACUACAUUACACCACACACGGCUCGGACAUAAGGAAGCACAUUCAAGAAGGACGUUACAAGAGAAGAACCAAGACAAUCAACACAGUUGCGAGUUAUUUGCACUGUACUUUGCAAUUCUUGAUUAUCACUUUACAACAUUAAAAAAUGAGGCAGCUGAAAGGAAAACCAAAAAAGGAGACUUCGAAAGACAAAAAAGAACGACGGCAAGCCAUGCAAGAAGCUCGAAGUCAAAUCACCACCAUCGUGUUUCCCACAUUAGCUGUGGUUGUGCUGUUGAUUGUUCUGUUUGUUUACGUGGCCACACGACCAACCACUGCAUGAGAGAAAAAUUACAGAGCAUUUUAUGAAGAAUUUUCAUCUUGGCUACAAUGGAUUUAAAAUGGAUUUAAAACUCCAGCUAGAAACAUUUAUGUCCAAUUGCAGUUCCAUUCUUCUUGGUCUUGACACGUGUUUAAAGAGUAUUGUUGCCCAAUCGUACAGUAUAUAUAAUAUAUAUGCUAAUUUCUCUCGUGUGCCUUUGAAAUUUUCACUAAAGAGUAUUUUUGCCCCUUUAAAUUAUCUGGAAACAAUUCCAGCAUCUUGUGCAGAAGUUGAGAGCAAACCUUAAUUCAAAAGAUAUGUCAGAGGCCAAUUUGUUGCAUUGUCUAUACUGUAAUAGUGUUUUAAACAAAAUUCUACUAUGAAUUUCACCACUCUUGCCAAAGGACAAUCCAUUCUUGUAUUGGAAACGUAUCACUUAAAAUGCAAUGAAUAUAAAUUGUAAAUGUUUAUUUUUAGAAUAAAAUCAAUGUUCAGAAUUUUUUCAAAUAUAUAUUUUGCAGUGUCAAGGAACAUGGAGAAGUCUCUUUUACCAGUAGUUUUAAUGUAUGCCAAGAACAUUUUAGACUUGCUGUGGGCAGCCAGCUGAUACCAAUUGCUGAAGGCAACCGCUUGGCCGACCCUCUCCCUGAAUGAAUCUACCUCCGUCAGUGCUCAGAUGCAAUAGUGUAUGGUGAUUUUGCCCUGAUAGUGUUUUUUGCAGGGAGAAUGAGAUUAUUGGAUCCUGGGAGUUGGAAGGGAAUAAUUUCACCAACUUGACCACUUGAAGUUGGACCUGUAUUACACACAUUUAUGGUCAAAGAAAAGUUCUGCCUUUACAGGAUUCUGUGAAUGUCUUGGAAUUGGAUAGCAAGGACAGUGUUAAUUGUGGCAGCAUAUUUAUAUUCUACUGCACGAGUCCAUACAAUGCUCCAAAUCUGUUCUUGAUAUAUUGGUUUAUGUAGAUUUACUAUGUUAAAAAAGACUUAUUCUAUACCAUUUGCAAUAAAACAAAAACAUCUCAGCAAUCUGAGAUGAAUCUACAGAGA